rnacentral:lncRNA from 1 species
CAACCACGCAAGCACAAUGCACCUCUGAUAGCCUCGAACCCGCCUCUUUUAAUUACAUAUAAAAUAUUUAAUAUAUACAUGUGAGACAUAAAUCUGAUGUUGUUUUAAGAUUCCCAGCACCACAGCAACAUUUUCACAAUGAGUACAUAGGUCUGGACUAUACACCAAUAUAUCAUCAAAGAAGACUAAUAUAAACUUGCUGAGAUGCUAGGGUGUUUGGAAGUCCAAAUGGCAUGACUCUAAACUCAUAGUGGCCAUCAUAGGUCAUAAAAGCUAUUUUCUAGAUGUCUUGUUCCGCCACUCUUAUUUGCUAGUACCCAGCUCUGAGAUCAAUUUUGUUAAACCACCUAAUCCCCUUCAAUUCAUCUAAUAGCUCAUCACUCAGUGGUAUUUGUCUUUAAUUGUGAGGGCAUUCAGCUGCCUGUUAUCAACACAAAACCUCCCAGUUCCAUCCUUUUUCUUAACCAGAAGUUCAGUUAGUGGUUUGGCUAUUCCUUGAUGAAUUUCUAUUAUGGAAUGUAUGGAAGUACAAUCCAAAUGAAAGGAAAUACAAUAAGUUGCAAAGCAUUCGAGAGGCUCUACUACUCUACCUAAACAAUAACAAAAUUCAGCCUACUUAUAAUGGUUCCUCUUGUCCGCUUAUAUAAGCCCCCAUUAACUAAUUCUAUUCAACCCAUUCAGUUUAGUUAACAGAAUCUGUUGCUACUUUUUCCCAGCUAGUGCACAAGUCUUCUUAACCGUUCUAGAAUGUACCUAAUUGGAGGUUUAUCAAAUCCAAGCUCCCUUUUGGUUUGGAUAUCCGAGGGGUGAUGGCUUUGAAUUUAAAUGGGUUGAUGGGGGUUUUUGAGAUUUGGUUCUGUAUAGGGUGUGGAUUUAGAUGUGGUUUCAUUUGGUGUAGUGUUUGGAUGGCACCAUUUAGUAGGUGAGAAUGAUUUGAAGGUCUUAGAUCCUUUGUUUGGGGUGUGAUGGUAUUUUCUUGUAAGGAGGCAAUUUCAAAGGCCAUAAUUAAGGUUGAGGAUUGGAUGAUUUUAACCAUAGAUUUGAUCUCUUUCAGGCCACUGGUGAAAAUCGAGAUGUAAUAGGACUCGGGCAAAUGGUAUAGGGAUAUCAUUACCUGAGACUUCAACUCUUCCAAUUGCACUUGAUAUUCCAUAAUGGUCCCCAUUUGCCUCAGCUUAUUGAAGACUUCUAUCACUUCCUCAGUAGUGUUUCAACAAACUAUCUACAAACUUCACUCGAAAACUUGUCCAAAUCGACAUUGGUAUGGCUGGAGAUGAAGCCAUGAAACCAUAUGUCCUAUUUUCCCUUCAAAUACAUCUCAGUUAUUCCCACCCUCAACUCAUCAGCCACUUGAUGAAUCUGGAAAUAUAUAUGGCCUUUGUUCAACUAAUCUCUAGGGAAGUCUAUUCUGGGUAAUAUAAUAUUCACUCUAGUCUCCCCAGUUCUAUGGGUAUUUCCCAGUGAUGGUUUCUUCCCAGAGGAUGGAGUACCAUAUCCUUCAACACGCUUUUCCUUGUGGUCUACCUUACCCCCAGUCAUCAAGAUGAACAUGGAUAUCGAUCGUAUUUGCUAUUCAUUUCUCCCAUCAAAUGCUCCAUUCGGUCCUGCUUAGUGCAGACUGCCUUCAACAUUUAAUCUGACAUCAGGUAUUUCUUUGUCUAGCUUCUUAAGGUGUUCCGCAUUAGAUUUACUCCCUAUGAAGCACCAACACGACCACGUACGUCCAAUAUGAAACACAUCAAAAACACUAACACUUGAUUUUGCAAAAAAGUUCCGACACUACAUGUUGGAUUUUAUACGCAAUAUUAAAGAGAUGAAAACGGAAAUCAACACAAGAAUUUUACGUGGUUCGGCGAUGUGCCUACGUCCACGAGAGCGAAACGGAGAUUUCUUUAUUCAGUUCUAAAAAAUAGGGUUACAACAUAUUAUUUAUACUAACCCUAGCCUGGACCCAUAUAAGACUUUAAGAUACUGCGGGGGCGUUGCCCCCGCACCCCCAACCCAUUCAACGUCCCUAACA